UCAAAAUGUUCUUGACCACCGAACAACUGUGCUGCUAUUUCAUUCUCCUGAUGUCUGUCACUGCUACUGCUGGACGCAAAAACCUCAUAUAUUGCGAUGAAUUGGGUGUUUGUCAGAAAAAUUGUUUUGUGUUAAUUAACAAUGCAAAAACGUGUCCUGGCGAUACGAAGUGCUGCCUAAGUGGAAUCGUCCCAGAUACUUAUGUGCCUUGAAAUUUAAUCACAAGAUAAAUGAAUGCCAAUGAGAAUUGUAUGAAAACAUUUAACAGAGUUUAGUAUUGAAUAUUAAACUUGCAAAUAAAUUUUGCACAAAAUGUGUAACAUCUAUAAUUAUGCUAAUAAAAAGCAUA